rnacentral:lncRNA from 1 species
GCAGACCACGUUAGAACCUCGGCUCCUGGAGUAGCAGAACCUCGGCUUCAAUGGGACCCUCAUUUCAUAAAUGAAGAAACUGAGAUUCAAAGAGGGGAACUACCGAAGGUUACAGAGCGAGUUCGUGGGUAAGCAUGAUGGGGAAACUGAGCCUCACAUGUAUGAAUUCCAGCAUAUAAGCAACAGACUCCAGAUUUGGACAUGUAUAUCUUAUUCCAGGCUUCCCAGAUGACCACCAAGGUGGAAGGGAUGAUGAUGUCCAGGCAGAAGGGAGCUAGGCCGGCCCAGGCUUUUCCUCUAGGCACAGCGGACUCCAGGUUCAGCCUUCCCGGAUGGUAAUGUUGCAUUCUGAAGAGCUACUUUCCCGCCAACUCAUCUCUGGACUUCUCUGGGGCCCAACUCUGGUUUCCUGCCUGCAGGAGGUCCCCUCUGACUUCCGACAGUAGAUGACCCUUCUGACUCACAGUUCUACUGCUGGGAAAUGCCUCCAGAGCUGCUGCCCACCCUCUCUGCAUCCCUCCAGGUCACUGGGUGUUGAGUCAGGGGAAGCAGGGAUACACACGGGCGGGAAACUCAGGUCUCCUAAAUGUCAGAGCCUCAGGACUUCGGCUACUCAGAAGUAGCUCCCUCCUGGGCCACCAGGGAGCAGCAGGGCAGCCAGCAUCCAGACAUCCCCCCUGGGUUCUGCUGCUCAGAGGCUAGAUGGAGAACCAAGGUGGGAAAAAGGCUUAAACCACAGCGUGGGGAGAUUUAGGUUAGAUGGGUCAGAGGAAGUUUAGGACAAGCCUUGCCCUUUUCAGUUUCUGUCCAGCUUCAGCACAGCCACUGCUUCCUCUCUUUGGUUUUUACCCAUCCCCCUCUCUCCCAUCACCUCUAUCCCCUUCCAGCUUUCCUUUCCUUCCCUCCUUCCCAAACCCCAGAGUUUCUCAGGAUUAGCUGCCCGUGUGCCUAUCUCCCCCACCCCCAUGCUUUCCUCACUGUCUCACAGAAACAGGCAAACACACACACAUGCAUACAACCAUGAGCUGGCCCUGAGAGUUCUCUGACUGGACUGGGGUUGGAGCCCCAGCUCUUGUCCUGAGCUGAGGCCCUUCCCCCAGGUAUCUUGGGGCUUCCAUCAUUUCUCUUGACAGGAGCUGUGGGCGUCUGGGCAGAUGGGAACCUGGGGGAGGUGUGGGGAGCCCUCUCUGAGGCAGGAAGCUCCCACGCUACUGUAGUUAAAAUAAUCCGGCAGCAACUUGGGGCAGCCAUCUGGGAUGCCCAGAUCUUCCAGGACACCCAGCUCUCAACAACAACCCUAUAGGAACAAAUCAAAAACCUAAGAGAUACUUAUAGGCCCUGGAAAUGUCUCCCAAAAGUGGCCUGAACUUGAGCCCUGUUUCCUUUUAUCUUCUUCAGGUUAGCACUGGGCAUUGGCAUUUGCAAAAAAACUCUAAGCAUUAAGCAAAACUUGUAGGAGUGGAAGAUACAGCGUUCUGGACCUCCAGUCCUAAUACCCAGCCACACCCCAGCAGCUAUGCAUGGUUCCAUGGGAGAGCAGGCAUAGCCCAUCCUGCUGGCAUAUAGUCCAGCCAUAUCUUCCAAUGCCCACCUGGAGACUAAGCCGAGUUCUGCCCAGCAACAGGAGCUCAGAGCUCCAGAGAGCCUCUCCUGGGGUGCAGACUCAGGAGAUCUUAGCUCAGGAGCAGACUUAGCCUGACUUCCUCUUUUAUAGGAGGAGACAGACUUAGUUACAGAGGAAACCAGAGUUGUUAUAAAUAGCAAGGAAGGGAGAAACCUGCUAUGGAUUACAAACACGCCAUCAAUCUUAAAACAAACUAUUUUUAGUUUCAAAUAAUAACGAGAGUCUAAUUAAUGCUCUGUAUAACUUCAAAUGUGGGAUCUUUAUCUGCCUUUCUACUUUGUGAUGCUUUCUAAUACAGUAUUAGGGCCAAAGGCAGGAAGAGAUGUGGGCAAUUCUCAAUGUUACCAAAUCCUAGAUAUGGAAAGAACCUGAGAAAUUUAGUCCAGCCCUUUCAUUUUCAGUGAAGAAACUCAGGCCCAGAGAGGUAAAAGGACUUGUCCAAAGUUGCAUAGUAAGGUAGGGACUGAGCAGUGACUAAAAGCCUAGUCCCUGUACUCCAGAAGCAGGACAGUUUCCACAGCAGCACAAUAGAACCCAAAGGCUAAACAUCUGUGGUUGGGCAGUUGGUGAGUUUAUAGCCUGGAUAAAAGUCAGGUCUAAGCCAGGUGUGGAGGCUCACGCCUGUAAUCCCAGCACUUUGGGAGGCUAAGGCAGGUGAAUCACUUGAGGCCAGGAGUUUGAGACCAACCUGGCCAACAUGGCAAAACCUCAUCUCUACUAAAAAGUACAAAAAUUAGCCAGAUGUGACGGCACAUGCCUGUAAUCCCAGCUACUCAGGAGGCUGAGGCACGAGAAUCGGUUGAACCCGGGAGGUGGAGAUUUCAGUGAGCCGAGAUCGCACUACUGCACUUCAACCUGGGGGACAAAGCAAGACUCUGUCUCAAAAAAAAAAAAAAAAAAAAAAAAAUUCUGAAUGAAAUAGCAAAAGACAGCCCAGAAGCUGAAGUGUGGUCUUCUGAGUCACCGAGUUUUGGGUUCACAUCCCAGCUCUGCAACUGACUAGCUUUGUAACCCUGGGCCUGUGUGUAACUACUCCAAGCAUCAGCUCCCACAUCUCAAAAUGAGAAUAAUCACACUCACUUCAUUACAGGACUAUUAUGAGGUUUAAAUGAGGUAACGUGGGUCAAGCAUCCAGCACAGUGCUCAGCAAAAAAUAGAUGUUAAUUUCCUUCCCAUUUCCCUCGGAUUCUCUACCCCUUCUUCAAUGGAUUCUUAUCCUCUAACUGGACAGAAGGGCAGAUUUGUCAUAAAGCAGUCACGUGAGGGAUAAGAAGUCUCACAUGAGUGUGAAUGAGGCUGGGGGUGGGGGCGUAGUUUAUGGCAAUGAAGUUUGCAUGGCACAAGUGGUCAGUGUCAGAUCCAGAGGGCGGGAGAAGACAGAUUUGCAGAAAAUUAUCCAUCCUCUGCUAACCACUCAGUGACGGGCCUCGGGGUUCAGGGUCAGUGUUUACAGGGGAGGAGGGAGGCUGGGCAUGCUGGGUCCUCAUUGUACACAAAUACCCCGGGCCUCAACCUCACCCAUGUGCCACACUGUGCCAAGGGUGUUACAUAACAUUUCUCUUUUAAUCCUCACAACAAUCUAUGAGGCAAAUACUGUUCUCGUCCCCAUUUUGCAGAAGAGGAAAUGAGCUCAAAGGUCACUUGGCUAGUGUAUAGUCAUUAGUGCUGUCUCCAAAUAUUUCCGGCUCUCUGCCUUCUGGCACAAGGUAGGACUGCAUGUUCUCACUCUUUGAUGCUAGCUGUGGACAUGUGACCAACUUUAACCAAUAAAACGUGGCGGAACUGAUGUGCGUCAGCUCUAGUGGAAGCAUUAAGACUCUGGCACCCUCACACCUAUGUUGUUCAUAGAGUGUAAAUGAGAAAUAAACUUUUAUUGUUAAACCACUGAA